UACGGAGGAUGCGAGCGUUAUCCGGAUUUAUUGGGUUUAAAGGGUGCGUAGGCGGCUUAGUAAGUCAGCGGUGAAAUUUUGCAGCUUAACUGUAACAGUGCCGUUGAUACUGCCAGGCUAGGAUUUGGUUGCUGUGGGUGGAAUGUGUGGUGUAGCGGUGAAAUGCAUAGAUAUUACACAGAACACCGAUUGCGAAGGCAGCUUACUAAUCCAUCAUUGACGCUGAGGCACGAAAGCGUGGGGAUCAAACAGGAUUA
rnacentral:rRNA from 1 species